rnacentral:lncRNA from 1 species
UUAUGAAAAAACUCGUCAAUCAAUUAUGAGCAAACAAAAAUCAUUCUCUAAAGAUAAAUGAGAUCAAGCACUUGGUUUAAAUUUUACUUUUACUCUCUCCUAAGUUUUAAUGACUAAAUAAUGUAUUAUUUUAACUAAUGGAUUUGAGGUGUCACAAGGUGGCGGUCGAGGCAUCGCGUCAUUUGAUACUCUUUGCUAUGGAGUUUGUUUCCCAGGAACAUGGGUGGCGGUCUAAUCUUAGGAUUGAUAGUCACUAGAGUGUGUUUGGGCUAUGGUUGUCUAGUAUUGUUGGGUUGUGUGUUCCAUUGGAACAGAAGCCAAAGAAUGUAACUCAAAAUUUGAAGUUAAUAUAUCUUCGUUUUCCAAAAACAAUUGUUAUUAUUUGUAAUUAAAUAUAUGAUGUAAAAAAUAUAGCACCAAAUGCUAGAUUUUGCAAUACUUCCAUUAACACAUGUACAAGCACCAUUAACAAACAUGACUAUGCAUCUUUGUCACACCCGGGUUUAAGGGGCAAACCCGACCACGAAUCAAAUGUGUGCAUAUUUAUGAUGACUCAUGGUACAGAAACGAAUGCCGCAUAUUUAUAAUAUAAUAGGAGUUCUGUACAAAAUAGCUAAAUAAUUACAUCAUACGAAGACGACGGUCCAGCAACUAUAGCUGACUAGGUGACGACGACCUAGACCUCUCACGAACUCAACGUGACAUCAUUCAUGCUCCUCAUCUUAUGGUACAUGUCCUUGACCUGGGGGAUGUGAGUACAACAAGGGUGAGCUCACAUACGUUCAUCGCUCAACAAGUUGUGGGGAUAAUGUGCAUGAGCUCACUUACGGUAGGGCUCAUGUGAAGUGUAAGGCUUACCAAAGAACAUGAUUAAAGCUGAGCAUUGCUUUUAAAGUUGGUCAAAGUUUUAUUAGCAGUUACUAAGUGUAUGUAGAUAUCAACCCAAUUAAAUAAGAGAUGACAAUUAAUAAUAACACCCACCAUGCAAUACAUAUGACAGAUUAAGUUUAGUUCCAUAAAUUAAUCAUGCGAGACACUACACCAAAAACAUACACUUCCUACGGUUUUUUAACUUCCUACAGCUUUUAUAACAAACCGUAGGAAAUUAAUAACUUCCGAGAGGCAACUGGUAGCUCUAGAAAAUAAACAUAACUUCCUACGGUGUUUUAUAAAAGCUGUAGGAAGUUAGCUUUCACACACUGAUCCGUGCGUGCGGUCAAGCGAGCCGCUAACUUCCUACGACCACCUCUAGGAAGUUAGCAUGGGCAGCUAACUUCCUACGGCCUCCUCUAGGAAGUUAGCUUUCAGUUGCUGAUUCCCAGGUGCGGUCAAGCAAGCCGCUAACUUCCUACGGCCGCCUCUAAGAAGUUAGCUGCCCAUACUAACUUCCUACGGCCUCCUCUAGGAAGUUAGCUUUCAGCUUUUGACAAGUCAAACGAAAAGCUAACUUCCUACGGCCUGCUCUAGGAAGUUAAUUAACUUCCUAGAGUACAUGUACAACCUCUAGGAAGUUAAGUAACUUCCUACAGCUUUACUCUAGCAAGUUAUAUUUUUUAUCUUAAUCCGCGAAUCAACCUUAUCUUCUCCUCACUUUACUUUCUCGCUCUCGAUUCUUCCAGCUACCGCCAACCGCGUCCCAGGCCUGCCCGCUGUGCCCUGCCGGCGCACCCGCCCCCGCCCUCCGCGCCCGCAGGCGUGCCCUUCCCCGACCCCGUCCAAAAACGUGAAAACCCUAUCUCUUCUUUCUAUCAGCCGGCGUCGUCAACGUGGGCCCUGCUGGCGUGGUGGCGGAUCAAAUUCGUCGGGCUUGCCCGCCCCGAUGACCAUAACCACACCUGCAACCUCUACCUCGAGCUUGAGCGGGAUGUUGAUGCGGCCGCUCCUACUCCGACGAGGGACGAUGGUGGCUGUCGUGCCGUGGACGGUGGCCCCUGCUCGCAUCGAGGACUAUGGUCGUCGCGCCAAGGAUGGUGGUCCCUGCUCUCGUCUCGAACGGCGGUCGUCGUGUUCAUGACGGUGACCCCUGCUCGCGCGAAGGACGCGCUGCACGCCACCAAACCCCAUCGUGAAGCCAGGCGAGCACCGCACGACACGCUCAACUAGUGUUCGACCAAAUGCAUCAAAGGUAAACAUGUUUUUAAACGAAGGUGGAGCUGCAUGUGUUUGCUGCAAUAUGAACCUAUUCCAUUUCAUUUGUUUACAUCAGCGCUUGACGCCCAGGUUGAAGCAACUACAUGUGUUUGCUUCCAUUAACUGGUUCUAAUCCACAUAUGCACACUAAUAGAUCAUUCUAGUGCCUUGUAAUCAUAAGACAAGAGUCUAUAGUCUAUAUCCAUUAUGAUGUGGUAGUAGUUCUGCCAUUGUAGUUCGAAUACCUUCUACUAGCAGUAUGCUGCUACUAUCUGUCUGCCCAUAAACAGCACGAUAGUGGCCACCAAAGUUGUUGUAAAGUUGCUCACUAUUAGUCCACAUUUCCGUAUAGCAAGUAUGCUUUCAAGUUUCUAAAAUGAUGUAGUCUUAUUUUAUUUGAAACUUCUUGUGUUGCUGAUAAAUUACUUGCUUUAUCUAGAAUUAUGGAUUUGGCUUUGGAUCAGGCUAACAAGGAGAUAAAGUACCUCUACACAGUUUCAAUUCUGUUAUGCACCUUUUUUUUGCAAAACAUUACUCUUUUUUGUAAUUUUAGCAAGAUAAUGGUUUGUUUUGUUUUUUUGUCGGAAAGCAUAUUGUCUUAGCUGUCUUUGAAAACACUAAUAACUUCGCACAAUGUCUGCCUAUUCAUAAUAUGACAAGUCCACAAUUGAAGCAAAGAGAUGCUUGUUUUAAAACUAAAGUGAGUCUCGUUGUUUGACUUCUGACUGUUUUUUUAAAAUUUUAUAUUUUUGUAAAAAUCAGUGAACAUUACACAAUUUUCAGAAUGGCUGUCGUGAUGUUAACCGGUUUCCUUCUUCAUCCACUCAGUUAUGGAGGUGGCUGCGUUGGACAAGCUUGCAUCUGGGAAUCGCUGGGUUGUCUUCAAACUUUUUGGUGGCAAAAAGUUAGCUGAUGUCUGAAACCCAGUAUCUCCUACCAAUUGUUGCUGAUUUGUGUACUUCUUGGGCUUACCACUUGCACGGUUCAGAAGGUAAACAUGUUUUUAAACGGAAGUGGAGCUGCAGGUGUUUGCUGCAAUAUGAACCUAUUCCAUUUCAUUUGUUUACAUCAGUGUUUGACGCCCAGCUUGAAGCAACUACAUGUGUUUGCUUCCAUUAAUUGGUUCUAAUCCACAUAUGCACACUAAUAAAUCGUUCUAGUGCCUUGUAAUAAUAAGACAAGAGUCUAUAGUCUAUAUCCAUUAUGAUGUGGUAGUAGUUCUGCCAUUAUAGUUCGAAUACCUUCUACUAGCAGUAUGUUGUCCUAUCGGUCUGCCCAUAAACAGCACGGUAGUGGCCACCAAAGUUGUUGUAAAGUUGCUCAGUAUUAGUCCACAUUUGUCGUAUAGCAAGUAUGCUUUCAAGUUUCUAAAAUGAUGUAGUCUUAUUUUAUUUGAAACUUCUUGUGUUGCUAAUAAAUUACUUGCUUUAUCUAGAAUUAUGGAUUUGGCUUUGGAUCAGGCUAACAAGGAGAUAAAGUACCUCUACACAAUUUCAUUUCUGUUCUGCACCUUUUUUUGCAAAACAUUACGCUUUUUGUAAUUUUAGCAAGAUAAUGGUUUGUUUUGUUUUUUUGUCGGAAAGCAUAUUGUCUUAGCUAUCUUUGAAAACACUAAUAACUUUGCACAAUGUCUACCUAUUCAUAAUAUGACAAGUCCACAAUUGAAGCAAAGAGAUGCUUGUUUUAAAACUAAAGUGAGUCUCGUUGUUUGACUUCUGACUGUUUUUUUAAAUUUUUAUAUUUUUGUAAAAAUCAGUGAACAUUACACAAUUUUCAGAAUGGCUGUCGUGAUGUUAACCGGUUUACUUCUUCAUCCACUCAGUUAUGGAGGUGGCUGCGUUGGACAAGCUUGCAUCUGGGAAUCGCUGGGGUGUCUUCAAACUUUUUGGUGGCAAAAAGUUAGCUGAUGUCUGAAACCCAGUAUCUCCUACCAAUUGUUGCUGAUUUGUGUACUUCUUGGGCUUACCACUUGCACGGUUCAGAAGGUAAACAUGUUUUUAAACGGAGGUGGAGCUGCAGGUGUUUGCUGCAAUAUGAACCUAUUCCAUUUCAUUUGUUUACAUCAGCGUUUGACGCCCAGCUUGAAGCAACUACAUGUGUUUGCUUCCAUUAAUUGGUUCUAAUCCACAUAUGCACACUAAUAAAUCGUUCUAGUGCCUUGUAAUAAUAAGACAAGAGUCUAUAGUCUAUAUCCAUUAUGAUGUGGUAGUAGUUCUGCCAUUAUAGUUCGAAUACCUUCUACUAGCAGUAUGUUGUCCUAUCGGUCUACCCAUAAACAGCACGGUAGUGGCCACCAAAGUUGUUGUAAAGUUGCUCAGUAUUAGUCCACAUUUGUCAUAUAGCAAGUAUGCUUUCAAGUUUCUAAAAUGAUGUAGUCUUAUUUUAUUUGAAACUUCUUGUGUUGCUGAUAAAUUACUUGCUUUAUCUAGAAUUAUGGAUUUGGCUUUGGAUCAGGCUAACAAGGAGAUAAUACUCCCUGUUAUUCAAUGAAGUGUGACAAUAGCAAGCCGAACUUCAAAAGAACUUAUCCUGAAGGUUACUUUCUGAUCUGCUUUGGUUUAAAAUGUUAGUUUGAUGUUAUCGUUGAUGUACAUAUUUUUUGACGGAUUAUACAAUGGAGUCUGAUAACAGUAGUAUAACUUGAUCUGCAUGUUUGAUGGUUGGAACAUUAGCCUGAAAUUUGGGCUUCCAUGGUAUUUCUAAUUCAGGUCUUUCAUACUAUGAUAAUGCAAUGCUAUACCUACUUGUAAUGACCAAGGUGACAAGGUGCCCAUUGGUAGCAGAUUAACCAAACUGAUUAUAAAAAAUGGUAGGUGAACCGAAUGAACUAUCCAAUUUCUAAGAUCACAUAAAGCAAAGUGAUAUGCAGGUAAUAACACUAAUGAUAUGCAAAUGCGAUGCAUAAAAGUUGCAACAGAGCAUAGAUCCCUAAAUAAAAUUCUAUUACUUGUUGCAUUUUCUGCUUUAUGAUGGAUACAUGUCGCCAUGGACAGGCUGGUAUUAUUACUUAUGGUGUUAUGGAAAUAAAAGGGGAGGGUACGCAACUAAUUAGAGAAAGAUGUCUCGGUUAUAAAUUAAAAUAACUUAAACAAAUACUUUUUUUAGACAGUUAUAAAUAAAAAAUUGUCUUAUAUAAUAUCUUUUAAGACAAUUUAUAACCAUCUUAAAUGUGAGAAAUCUUUUGCGACUCCAUCAAAUCUGGACACGUCUUAAGAACUUUUCUGUCCUGACUCAGUGCUAUUUGAUCCGGUCCUAACACCUAUGUUUUCGUAACAAAAUGAAAUGACCCUGCUAGUUUCAAAUGGAGGGAGUAUUAAAUUAACUUUGAUUAUUGCUUCGAGUAUGCUUUAAGCUGAAAAAGGACACCCUUCUAUCAUCAUCAAUACAUUGUACCACAAUACAUCUCCACCUACCAAACAUCAGGUAUGCAAAUUCAUCAUCAUUUAGUUGUUGUUAGUUAUAUUAUGAUGUAACUCAGUAAAUAUCAUUUGUACAUGUAUAUUAGACCCCUCCAGCUACCUUGUCGACGCAUGAACGAGAAGAUGUGUUAGACUUUGUCGAAACCCUCUUCGCUAGUGGAGGUAUCGACCAUCAUUCGUCACUGUACCUCGAUGGUGAUCGGCGAUCGUGAGCUUCUAUGUUAUGUGUUGUGAUACUUGAGACUUUUUAUUAUGACUAUGUAUGAGAUAUUGUCUCUUAUUAUGACUGGAUGAGAUGUGUCUUAUUAUGACUAUGGAUGAGACUUUUGUGAUGUAAUUGAUAAGACUAUGGAUUUCAAUAUUGUUAUGUGAUUGUGUGUGAGAUGUUUUAUGUGAAAAUAUGUUGUGCUAUAUAGUUGUUGAUAUAUCUGUUAUGUUGUGGAAUGUGGUGUAAAAUUAAAAUAAACAGCAUUUGUAAUGCUGGUCAAAUUAACUUUCUAGAGGCCAACUGGGCUGUAGGAAGUUAGCCAGCUAACUUCCUAGGGGCUACAGUCAGCCGUAGGAAGUUAGCUGGCUAACUUCCUACGGGCUACAGUGAGCCGUAGGAAGUUAGUCGUUGGAAGUUAGUCAUCUGACGGCGCUAACGGCGUGAAGCUACUAACUUCCGAGAACCUACUAACUUCCGAGAGGCUCCUUUGGCUGUAGGAAGUUAGCUAACUUCCUACAGGGCUCUAGGAAGUUAAGCUAACUUCCGACAAAAAAAUCCGAGAGCCAAACUUUAGAUGGGGUGGCUUUACUUCCAAGGGUUUAGCUAACUUCCUAGAGUUUAGGGCUAACUUCCUAGGGUUUAGGCUCUAGGAAGUUCACUAUUUUGGUGUAGUGAGAGUCCUGAGUCGCUCUUGACCACGAGCACGGCUGAUAUACUAGUUUUACACUAUGCAUAAGUUGCACCCUUUACCCACAAGUCGUGUUACCCAUUUGCCAAGGGAUCGCAACUUCCCAUUCAUCUCUAACGAGGAGACGAGGCAGGGUAGCACUACGAGGCCUUUACAAAGUUUCACUAGCUUCAAAAAACCUGCUACUGUUUCUGAGGAGAGCGAUAUAGAAAUCCAUUGUCUGAAAAGCCCGAUGCCUAGAUGAGAACGAAUUAAGUGAGUAAGUUCUUACCGGCCGUGGCGUCGAGGUGAAGUUGGCCCGCGGCGCCAUGCAAAUCGGUUGUGUCCAUGAAGUCCGACAACAAAUUCUCUUAGCCUCAUGGUCUCUCGUGCUCCACGACACACCCAUGUGCGAACGCUAUGAUCUGGCGAAGCUUCCAGGUACACCCCCGAAGGCAGACUAGCG